rnacentral:rRNA from 1 species
CAGUCGCCGCGGUAAUACGUAGGUGGCAAGCGUUGUCCGGAAUUAUUGGGCGUAAAGCGCGCGCAGGUGGUUUAAUAAGUCUGAUGUGAAAGCCCACGGCUCAACCGUGGAGGGUCAUUGGAAACUGUUAAACUUGAGUGCAGGAGAGAAAAGUGGAAUUCCUAGUGUAGCGGUGAAAUGCGUAGAGAUUAGGAGGAACACCAGUGGCGAAGGCGGCUUUUUGGCCUGUAACUGACACUGAGGCGCGAAAGCGUGGGGAGCAAACAGGAUUAGAUACCCCAGUAGUCCCUGUCUCUUAUAA